rnacentral:rRNA from 1 species
GAUAAACGCUGGCGGCGUGCCUAAUGCAUGCAAGUCGCACGGAGCAUCACUUCGGUGGUGUUGAGUGGCGAACGGGUGAGCAACGCGUGGACAACCUACCCCGGCGUGGGGGAUACCCGCCAGAAAUGGCGGCUAAUACCGCGUACGGUCCAGGGGCGACGGGCUACUUGGAAGAAAGCCGCAAGGCGCGCUGGGAGGGGUCUGCGACCGAUUAGCUUGUUGGCGGGGUAACGGCCCACCAAGGCGAUGAUCGGUAGCUGGUCUGAGAGGAUGAUCAGCCACACGGGGACUGAGACACGGCCCCGACUCCUACGGGAGGCAGCAGCAAGGAAUUUUCCGCAAUGGGGGCAACCCUGACGGAGCAACGCCGCGUGACGGAUGACGCCUCUUGGGGUGUAAACGUCUUUUGCCGAGGGAGAGAGAGGACGGUACUCGGCGAAUCAGGACCCGGCUAACUACGUGCCAGCAGCCGCUGUAAG